rnacentral:rRNA from 1 species
UACAGAGGUUCCAAGCGUUGUUCGGAUUCACUGGGCGUAAAGGGUGCGUAGGCGGUCUGGUAAGUCUGCCGUGAAAUCUCCGGGCCUAACCCGGAAACUGCGUUGGAAACUACUUGGCUAGAGGAAUGGAGGGGAGACUGGAAUACUUGGUGUAGCAGUGAAAUGCGUAGAUAUCAAGUGGAACACCAGUGGCGAAGGCGAGUCUCUGGACAUUACCUGACGCUGAGGCACGAAAGCCAGGGGAGCAAACGGG